UUCUCUUUUAAAAUGAAUCUUUCUUGCCCUUAACAACACCCAUUUUCUCCACCACACCAACAUCUUAUCCUUACCUUCACAUCUACUUAAUGCUUUAGAUAUAUUUUGGUUCAAACAAGACAUGUAUGUAUAUAGAUAGAUAGAUAUAUCUCACUCCAGUCAGAGAUUCUUAAAUCAAUUAAUAUGGCUCCUACAUUUCUCUACAUUACAGCAGCCGUAUCAUCAGCAAUGGGGUUUUAUUUUCUUGCCAGAGAUCACCCAAAUGUUAACAAGACAAUUAGCACUGCGGGUGGAGGUGCUUCAAUGGCAGCACGAGCGAAGGAGGAGAUGAUAAUCAAGCGCAAGCCCCCACAAUUGGCCCCUCAGUUUGACGGAUUGUUCUGCUUUGAAACCAUUGUUGAACAUUGAUAUCUCUGACUCCGCCGUCGCAGAUGUCCCGAAUUUCGUCGAGCGCGCCCCUCCGAAUUAUGGCGGAUCGUAAGGGAAAACCAGAAGAUGCAAGCGGCUGCUCAGAUUAUUGUGUGUUUGGAUUUUUUUUUUAUUUUUUUAUUUUUUUUAUGUUUUUUAUAGUUUUGAUUAUUUUGUUGUUCGUUAUUAAGAAUAGGACUCCCUCAA